GUAUUAAAGUGGUUGAUUGAUCCAAGUUUUAAAAUAAAAGUAGUGUAAAAUACAUGUCAAUUGUUUGUGGUAAUUAAAUGUACAUAUAACAAAAGAAAUGUGAUGUAGAGAUAAUUUCCCAUAAUUUUACCAUUUCAACAUGUAACGUACAUUAUAUAUUGACAAAUAACAUUAAAAUUAUAGAUAUAGUCAAAACAUGAUGGACUCACUUUUUUUACCUCACUCCAUUGUCAGAGUUACAGUAGUAAUUAAACGAUUAUAAAUUUUAUCAAAAUUCAAUUUUAUAAAUUGCAAUUUUAUAGUUGAUUAAAAAAAUUCUCAUGUGCAGUAAUACAGAUGCCUAUAUAUAUUUUAAAAUGCAUCAUCAAGGACAUACUACACUAUUUAGUUAUAAUUUAAUAUUAUAUUGUAUCUAGAUAAUUUUAUUAAGCCCCAAAUCCAUAUAUUAAAACGUGACAAGUGCAUUUUCAUUUUUAAUUAUUGAUCCCUAUCUAUGCAAGAUUUUAAGUUGGGUUACUGAUUUAAAAAAUAUAAUUUACUCAACCAAGCACCAAGGCAUAUGUUAUUUAUAACUUGAAAUUUAUUAUUAUCUACGGUGAUCUUUUAAAUUUUACUUAAAUAAAAUAAAAUCAAAUAAAAUCGCGAAAAUCUUAGCGCGAGAUCUCGCCAUGCUACCUGCCUACGAGAUACGAUCUAAUAAAUGCCAAAAGCUGACAACAAAAAACCGUGCCGUUUCACUAUCACGUGACGUGCCAACGACGACAAUAUUUCUGUUAUCAUACGUCAUACCAGUAGCCAGCUCGCGUGUUUGCUUCUUCAUCUCAUGAGAAAUUUAAACACUCAACGACACACCCCAUCCCAUUCAAAAUCCAAAACUUUUUUGCUUUUAUUUUUUCUUCAAUUUGUAAUUUUGCUUUUUCCUUUUUUCUUGAAAAAUCCGGCAAAGUUUUGUUUAGUUCUUAAAGGGAUAAUAAUAACUGGAUCCUUGGAUUUUCAUUAAAACAUAUUUACCUAGAAAUUUACAAGUUCAAAAAAUUUCAAG
rnacentral:lncRNA from 1 species